rnacentral:rRNA from 1 species
GACGUAGGGCGCAAGCGUUGUCCGGAUUUAUUGGGCGUAAAGAGCUCGUAGGCGGCCUGUCGCGUCGACCGUGAAAACCCGCAGCUCAACUGCGGGCUUGCGGUCGAUACGGGCAGGCUGGAGUUCGGUAGGGGAGACUGGAAUUCCUGGUGUAGCGGUGAAAUGCGCAGAUAUCAGGAGGAACACCGGUGGCGAAGGCGGGUCUCUGGGCCAAUACUGACGCUGAGGUGCGAAAGCGUGGGGAGCAAACAGG